rnacentral:rRNA from 1 species
GGGAGGGCCGGGGCAGAUGCGUGGGUAGUACGGAGGGGUCAAGCGUUAUCCGGUUUUAUUUGGUUUAAAGGGUCCGUAGGCGGACUUAUAAGUCAGUGGUGAAAGCCUGUCGCUUAACGAUAGAACGGCCAUUGAUACUGUAAGUCUUGAGUAUAUUUGAGGUAGCUGGAAUAAGUAGUGUAGCGGUGAAAUGCAUAGAUAUUACUUAGAACACCAAUUGCGAAGGCAGGUUACCAAGAUAUAACUGACGCUGAGGGACGAAAGCGUGGGGAGCGAACAGGAUUAGAUACCCUGGUAGUC